rnacentral:rRNA from 1 species
GCCCCGAGAUGAGUUCUCCCAGUCUAAGAGACUGUAAGGGUUGUUGAAGACGACGACGUAGAUAGGUGGGGUGUGUAAGCGGUGUGAGCCGUUGAGCUAACCCAUACUAAUUGCCCGAGAGGCUUAACUAUACAACGCUGAAGGGUUUU